UAUGAAAUUUUCUUCAUUGUCUUUGUUUUCUUGUCAUUCAUUUGGCCACCAACAGCUUCACUAACAUCCACUGAUAUUGCAGUUUCAUAUGACAAAUCAGCUCUUUUGACAUUCUGAAUAAUCGAUGGCAUUAAUAGCAUUCAAAGCUAUAAUAUCCAUUACUCAUGAAUGAGGUCAUACCUUGACUCUACCAGGCUGCUAGCCCCUAUAUAAAAACAUGAGUAGUUUGUUUUCUUGUCAUUCAUUUGGCCACCAACAGCUUCACUAAUAGCCAGGGAUAUUGCAGUUUCAUAUGGCAAAUCUGCCCUGGCGACAUUCUGAAUAAACGAUGGCAUUAAUAGCAUUCAAAGCUAUAAUAUUCAUUACUCAUGAAUGAGGUCAUUCAUUUGGCCACCAACAGCUUCACUAAUAGCCAGGGAUAUUGCAGUUUCAUAUGGCAAAUCUGCCCUGGGGACAUUCUGAAUAAACGAUGGCAUUCAAAGCUAUAAUAUCCAUUACUCAUGAUGAGGUCCUACCUUGGCUCUACCAGGCUGUUAGCCUCUGUAUAAAAACAUGAGUAGUUUUUUUUCUUGUCAUUCAUUUGGCCACCAACAGCUUCACUAAAAGCCAUGGAUAUUGCAGUUUCAUAUGGCGAAUCUGCCCUGGCGACAUUCUUAAUAAACGAUGGCAUUAAUAGCAUUCAAAGCUAUAAUAUUCAUUACUCAUGAAUGAGGUCAUACCUUGACUCUACCAGGCUGUUGGCCUCUGUAUAAAAAAAUGAGUAGUUUUUUUUUCUUGUCAUUCAUUUGGCCACCAACAGCUUCACAAAUAGCCAGAGAUAUUGCAGUUUCAUAUGGCAAAUCUGACCUGGCGACAUUCUGAAUAAACGAUGGCAUUCAAAGCUAUAAUAUUCAUUAUUCAUGAAUGAGGUCAUACCUUGGCUCUACCAGGCUGUUGGCCUCUGUAUAAAAAACUGAGUCGUUUUUUUUCUUGUCAUUCAUUUGUCCACCAACAGCUUCACUAAAAUCCAUGGAUAUUGCAGUUUCAUAUGACAAAUCUGCCCUGGCGACAUUCUUAAUAAACGAUGGCAUUAAUAGCAUUCAAAGCUAUAAUAUUCAUUACUCAUGAAUGAGGUCAUUCAUUUGGCCACCAACAGCUUCACUAAUAGCCAGGGAUAUUGCAGUUUCAUAUGGCAAAUCUGCCCUGGGGACAUUCUGAAUAAACGAUGGCAUUCAAAGCUAUAAUAUCCAUUACUCAU